rnacentral:rRNA from 1 species
AGUCACUGACAUUAGAUACCCGCGUAGUCCAGGGUGUAAACGCUGCAGACUUGGUGUUGGAGGCCCUUUGGGGGCAUUCAGUGCCGGAGAGAAGUUGUUAAGUCUGCUACUUGGGGAGUACGUCCGCAAGGAUGAAACUUAAAGGAAUUGGCGGGGGGAGCACCGCAACGGGAGGAGCGUGCGGUUUAAUUGGAUUCAACACCGUAAAACUCACCAGGGAAGACUGUUACAUGAAGGCCGAGAUGAAGACUCUGCUAGAUUUUCAG